CCCCAGCCAGCUUGAAGACCCUGCCCUCCUGCAGCCGGCAGGGGCAGUCACUCCCGGACUUGUCCUUUUAGAAGUUCCAGCUUUACCACUUGCUGGUGGAGCCCAACCACUGCCGCAGGGUCCUCAUCGCCAACACGCCUGGCAGAUCCAAGAGGAGAUGGCCCAGGAUGAGACGUGGCACACACAGGCACCCGAGAGUGUGGGGUUGGCGUUGUUCCACUGCCUGGUUUCUGCAGAGAUCCUGUGCCUGUGGCCUGUGCCCGCCAUGUGGAAGCCAGAGGGGGUGUGCCAUGCCCCCCGCUUUGGACACUGCUGCGUGAAGGGGCCAGUUUUCAGACCUUUGCUCUGUCACCUCAGCACUGGCGCCAGGAGCCCUGAAGAGCAGCAUCUGGGAGACGGACAGCCCUGGGGAAAAUAGAGGAGGCGUUCAGAAGUAGCUAGAUGAGAUAUUUGAAAUACUGAAGACCAAAAACCCCAGUUUGCAUGGAAGAACUGGCCUCAGAUGUGGUCAGUUCCUAUGAUGACCUGGACACACGGUGCUGACCCACACGAUGGGAGGUGGCCCUGCAAAGCAUUCAGAGGCUUGGGCCUGCUGCCGUCCGGCCUCCCACCUCCAGCUGCAAUUGCAUUCUGACCUGGGCAAGUAGGAACACGUAGUGGAGAUCCUGAUGGAGACCUGA
rnacentral:lncRNA from 1 species